rnacentral:rRNA from 1 species
UGCAGAAUCCCGUGAACCAUCGAGUCUUUGAACGCAAGUUGCGCCCAAAGCCUUCUGGUCGAGGGCACGUCUGCCUGGGUGUCACAA